UACAGGGGGUGCAAACGUUGCUCGGAAUCAUUGGGCGUAAAGCGCACGUAGGCGGUUCGUUAUGUCGGAUGUGAAAGCCCUUGGCUUAACCGAGGAAGUGCAUCCGAAACUGGCGAGCUAGAGUACGAAAGAGGAUCGCGGAAUUCCCGGUGUAGAGGUGAAAUUCGUAGAUAUCGGGAGGAACACCGGUGGCGAAGGCGGCGAUCUGGGUCGAUACUGACGCUGAGGUGCGAAAGCGUGGGGAGCGAACGAGG
rnacentral:rRNA from 1 species